rnacentral:rRNA from 1 species
UACGUAGGGUGCAAGCGUUGUCCGGAAUUAUUGGGCAUAAAGAGCUCGUAGGCGGUGUGUCACGUCGGCCGUGAAAACCUGCAGCUUAACUGUGGGCGUGCGGUCGAUACGGGCAUCACUGGAGUUCGGCAGGGGAGACUGGAAUUCCUGGUGUAGCGGUGAAAUGCGCAGAUAUCAGGAGGAACACCGGUGGCGAAGGCGGCAUCCUGGACCGGUAUUGACACUGAGGCGCGAAAGCCAGGGGAGCAAACGGG